rnacentral:rRNA from 1 species
GACGGAGGGCGCAAGCGUUGUUCGGAAUUACUGGGCGUAAAGCGCGCGCAGGCGGCUAUCCAAGUCAGUGGUGAAAGCCCGGAGCUCAACUCCGGAACUGCCAUUGAAACUGUUUAGCUUGAGGACGAGAGAGGUGAGUGGAAUUCCCAGUGUAGAGGUGAAAUUCGUAGAUAUUGGGAAGAACACCGGUGGCGAAGGCGGCUCACUGGUCCGGUUCUGACGCUGAGGCGCGAAAGCGUGGGGAGCAAACAGG